GAUGAACGCUGGCGGCGUGCCUAAUACAUGCAAGUCGAGCGAACAGACGAGGAGCUUGCUCCUCUGACGUGAGCGGCGGACGGGUGAGUAACACGUGUAUAACCUACCUAUAAGACUGGGAUAACUUCGGGAAACCGGAGCUAAUACCGGAUAAUAUAUUGAACCGCAUGGUUCAAUAGUGAAAUACGGUUUUGCUGUCACUUAUAGAUGGAUCCGCGCCGCAUUAGCUAGUUGUUAAGUUAACGGCUUACCAAGGCAACGAUGCGUAGCCGACCUGAGAGGGUGAUCGGCCACACUGGAACUGAGACACGGUCCAGACUCCUACGGGAGGCAGCAGUAGGGAAUCUUCCGCAAUGGGCGAAAGCCUGACGGAGCAACGCCGCGUGAGUGAUGAAGGUCUUCGGAUCGUAAAACUCUGUUAUUAGGGAAGAACAAAUGUGUAAGUAACUAUGCACGUCUUGACUGUACCUAAUCAGAAAGCCACGGCUAACUACGUG
rnacentral:rRNA from 1 species